GACAGAGGUGCCGAGCGUUAGGCGGAAUCACUGGGCUUAAAGCGUGUGUAGGCGGAGUUCUAAGUACCUUGUGAAAUCCCACGGCUUAACCGUGGAACUGCUUGGUAUACUGGUUCUCUUGGGCCAUCUAGGGGCUAGCGGAACAAACGGUGGAGCGGUGAAAUGCGUAGAUAUCGUGUGGAACGCCAAUGGUGAAAACAGCUAGCUGGGGAUGUGCCGACGCUGAGACACGAAAGCCAGGGGAGCGAACGGG
rnacentral:rRNA from 1 species